rnacentral:lncRNA from 1 species
CAAAAAGAGGGAAGGAGAGGGACAGGGAAGCUAGGGCGACUGAGGAUACGCCGAGGUCUAGUCCGGCUUGACAGCACGAGCUAGAGAGCUUUGCGAGCCGCGGGGCUGGGAAGUCAGGGCAUGGGGGCCAGGCCGGCCCUCCGGUUCUUUCAGCUCCCCGGGCCCCCGACUUUAAAGUGCUCAAGUUGGGGUCGGCGCCAUCAUGACGCCCAAGACUGUGAAUACACCGUGACAGCCAUUAACUCCCUACACUGCUGUCUUUGCAUCCUGUCUUCAAGCAGUGUCUUCAAGAGAAGAUGCUGGAAUUCAGCCAUUUUGACACAAUCAUAAAACUGAAGUUUGAUGUUUAGAGGUCAAUACUCAUUAUCUUCAUUUUGAAAAUAUUUUGUUUUGGAGAUGCUGGAGAAACCCAGAAAACUUCAGGUUGCUUUUGGCUAUGGUCUGUAGCAUAGCAGUAGAAAGCAAACUAAGAGUGAUGACAUUUGCUUCACACCAUGACAUCAGCCUUGUCAUGUCUUCAGUCCCUGUAUUCAGAUCAGGAAUAUGACAGAGAAAGAAAGCACAUGUGUUUCCUACAAGUGUGAGGACUUCCAUGCUAGAAAGAGCCAAGAAGGAAUCUUUAAAGCAGUCUCUAUCAUUUGUCAAACCUUUGAUGAUAGAAUUCUUUGUCCAUGGACUGAUGGGAGAAUGACAGAAAUAAACACCCAAAUUAACAUGU